rnacentral:rRNA from 1 species
CCUACGGGCGGCAGCAGUGGGGAAUAUUGGACAAUGGGGGGAACCCUGAUCCAGCCAUGCCGCGUGUGUGAAGAAGGCCCUCGGGUUGUAAAGCACUUUCAGUGAGGAAGAACGCCUGGUGGUUAAUACCCAUCAGGAAAGACAUCACUCACAGAAGAAGCACCGGCUAACUCCGUGCCAGCAGCCGCGGUAAUACGGAGGGUGCGAGCGUUAAUCGGAAUUACUGGGCGUAAAGCGCGCGUAGGUGGCUUGAUAAGCCGGUUGUGAAAGCCCCGGGCUCAACCUGGGAACGGCAUCCGGGACUGGGAAGCUAGAGUGCAGGAGAGGAAGGUAGAAUUCCGGGUGUAGCGGUGAAAUGCGUAGAGAUCGGGAGGAAUACCAGUGGCGAAGGCGGCCUUCUGGACUGACACUGACACUGAGGUGCGAAAGCGUGGGUAGCAAACAGGAUUAGAUACCCGAGUAGUC